GGUGAAAAGCACCCCGGAAGGGGAGUGAAAUAGAACCUGAAACCGUGUGCUUACAAGUAGUCAGAGCCCGUUAAUGGGUGAUGGCGUGCCUUUUGUAGAAUGAACCGGCGAGUUACGAUUUGAUGCAAGGUUAAGCAGUAAAUGUGGAGCCGUAGCGAAAGCGAGUCUGAAUAGGGCGUUUAGUAUUUGGUCGUAGACCCGAAACCAGGUGAUCUACCCUUGGUCAGGUUGAAGUUCAGGUAACACUGAAUGGAGGACCGAACCGACUUACGUUGAAAAGUGAGCGGAUGAACUGAGGGUAGCGGAGAAAUUCCAAUCGAACCUGGAGAUAGCUGGUUCUCUCCGAAAUAGCUUUAGGGCUAGCCUCAAGUGAUGAUUAUUGGAGGUAGAGCACUGUUUGGACGAGGGGCCCCUCUCGGGUUACCGAAUUCAGACAAACUCCGAAUGCCAAUUAAUUUAACUUGGGAGUCAGAACAUGGGUGAUAAGGUCCGUGUUCGAAAGGGAAACAGCCCAGACCACCAGCUAAGGUCCCAAAAUAUAUGUUAAGUGGAAAAGGAUGUGGCGUUGCCCAGACAACUAGGAUGUUGGCUUAGAAGCAGCCAUCAUUUAAAGAGUGCGUAAUAGCUCACUAGUCGAGUGACACUGCGCCGAAAAUGUACCGGGGCUAAACAUAUUACCGAAGCUGUGGAUUGUCCUUUGGACAAUGGUAGGAGAGCGUUCUAAGGGCGUUGAAGCAUGAUCGUAAGGACAUGUGGAGCGCUUAGAAGUGAGAAUGCCGGUGUGAGUAGCGAAAGACGGGUGAGAAUCCCGUCCACCGAUUGACUAAGGUUUCCAGAGGAAGGCUCGUCCGCUCUGGGUUAGUCGGGUCCUAAGCUGAGGCCGACAGGCGUAGGCGAUGGAUAACAGGUUGAUAUUCCUGUACCACCUAUAAUCGUUUUAAUCGAUGGGGGGACGCAGUAGGAUAGGCGAAGCGUGCGAUUGGAUUGCACGUCUAAGCAGUAAGGCUGAGUAUUAGGCAAAUCCGGUACUCAUUAAGGCUGAGCUGUGAUGGGGAGAAGACAUUGUGUCUUCGAGUCGUUGAUUUCACACUGCCGAGAAA
rnacentral:rRNA from 1 species